rnacentral:rRNA from 1 species
UACGAAGGGUGCAAGCGUUAAUCGGAAUUACUGGGCGUAAAGCGCGCGUAGGUGGUUCGUUAAGUUGGAUGUGAAAGCCCCGGGCUCAACCUGGGAACUGCAUCCAAAACUGGCGAGCUAGAGUAUGGCAGAGGGUGGUGGAAUUUCCUGUGUAGCGGUGAAAUGCGUAGAUAUAGGAGGGAACACCAGUGGCGAAGGCGACCACCUGGGCUAAUACUGACACUGAGGUGCGAAAGCGUGGGGAGCAAACAGG